AAUCACAGAAAGUGCCCUGCAUCAUUGCAGCAAAUAUAAAAACAAUCUUCUUGCCAGACAAUAAACAGUUAAUUUCAGCACCAUUUAUUGCCGGUUCUAAUUUUGAAUGAGAAAGAUUUUGCCAUUUAACCAAGUAAGAAAUAUAAGUACCCGCUGUUUUUGUUUCCCAUAUUAGAUUUUCAAUAUGAAAAUCAAAACAUGUUGAGUCAUCACAGUGUCCAAUCAAGCAAAAAUAAUUGGCAACUGUGGAACAUACCACAAGUAAUCUGACAGAA
rnacentral:misc_RNA from 1 species